AUCUUUGCAUUGACAGGCCAAGAUAUGCACGUUUUCGUUUAGCAAGUAUGAUUUGGUGCAAUACUUAAGAUCGAAUGAAUACGUUAGAGAUAUCUUACUUUCUUCCCCUUCUCACACGCUCAUAUCAGUUUGAGCAUCACUGAAGAGACAUUAUUUGUCGAAAUACGUAUCUGGAGCAUCAAAAUUGCCUGCAGCAUAAUUUCCGACCUCCUGCAAGGCGCCCACGGCCACAGAAAAGUUUCCAGAGGCUGUGUGUAUUGGCCGUGGAAGAUGGAGGAAACGGCUGAUUUUCGUGGAUUUUCAACCGUGAUCUUUCCAUGGCGAAGAAGAAAGAUGAAGGAUGACAUAUUAUUCAUUUUUGGAUUAUAAAAACAUUAUGAUACAUGUUAACUUCAUCGUUGAUAACUAAGCCUACUGAAUUUCAAGAGAAAAAAGGCAACAAAUAUUAAAUCUAAAGUAGAGACCAUUGAAAAUCUUUUAUAUUAACGCAUACAUUUUCAUUUUCUUUUAAUUGUAAUCUACUUGUUAUUAACAAUUGAUAGCAUGACGUUGCACUGAACGAUAUUUUAAAACAUUAUAGUUCAAUUUAGAUUAAAAGAUUCCAAUACAGUG